rnacentral:rRNA from 1 species
AUUGAACGCUGGCGGCAGGCCUAACACAUGCAAGUCGAGCGGAGCGGCGGACGGGUGAGUAAUGCCUAGGAAUCUGCCUGGUAGUGGGGGAUAACGUCCGGAAACGGGCGCGAAUACCGCAUACUAUCAGAUGAGCCUAGGUCGGAUUAGCUAGUUGGUGGGGGAAAGGCCUACCAAGGCGACGAUCCGUGACGGGUCUGAGAGGAUGAUCAGUCGCACUGUAACUGAGACACGGUCCAGACUCCUACGUGAGGCAGCAGUGGGGAAUAUUUGACAAUGGGCGCAAUCCUGAUCCAGCCAUGCCGCGUGUGUGAAGCAGGUCUUCGGAUUGUAUAGCACUUUAAGUUGGGAGGCGUUACCAACAGAAUAAGCACCGGCUAACUUCGUGCCAGCAGCCGCGGUAAUUC